AGAAAUUACCAGAGCUCACUAAAAAGAUAACCUGAACAGCCCUACAAAAGAAACUGAACAGGCACCUGGGUGACUCAACUGAUUGUCUCCUUUUGGCUGAGGUCAUGAUUGCAGGGUACUGGCAAUUGAGCCCCACAUUGAGCUCCCUGCUCAGCGGGGAGUCCGUUUCUCCCUCUCUUUUUGCCCCUUCCCCCUGUUUGUGUGGGCUUGCACACAUGCAUGCGCGCUCUCUCUCUCUAAUAAAAUCUAUCUCAAAAAUAUUUUUAAAAAUUGAAAUUGUAGUUUUAAAACCUAAUUAUACAAAAAUCCAGGCCCAGGUGGCUUUAGUGGUGAGUUUAACCAAAAACUUCAGAAGAGAUAAUACCAAUUCUACACAAACUUCUAAAAAAUCCAAGUGGCAAUAGUUUCCAAUUCAUUCUGUGAGGCCGUCAUAACUCUUGGACCAAAAUUAUCCUGGUACCCUAGCCAGACAAACCUAUUACAAGAAAAGCUACAAGGCAAUAUUCCACAUAAAUACAGGUACAACAAUUCUAAGGAAAAGUUUAGUAAAUUGAAUCCUAUGAUAUAAUAAAAAGAUAAUGUAUCGUGGUCACGGGAUUUAUCCUGAGAAUGCAGGCUUGAUUUAGCAGUCAUAUAAUCAUCUCAAUAUAGAAAAAUCAUCUGACAAAACUGAUCCUCUAUUGCUGAGAAAAACUCAGGCAAACUAGGAGUAAAGGGAACUUCCCCAGUUUGAUAAAGGGCAUCUAUAAAAACCCUAGAGUUAACAUCAUACUUAGUUGUAAAAGAUUGCAUACUUUGUCCCUAACAUUAGGAACAAGUAGGGAUGUCUGUAUAGGAAAUUCUAGAUGUUGUAUAGGAAAUUCUAGACUGCACAAUUGGGCAGGAAAGAAAGAACAUCCAGAUUGGAAAGAAAAAAUAAAAUUGCCGUUAUUCACAGAUGACAUGAUUUUCAGGCAUGUAGAAAAUACACAAUGGAAAAAAAUGUACAAUGGAGUCUACAAGUAUCUAUUAGAACUAAAAAGUGACUUUAUCGAAGUUGCAAGAUAUAAAGCAACAUACAAAAAUCAUGUUUGUAUAUGUAGCAGCAAUUAGAAACGGAAAUUAAAAAUCCACACUUAUAAUAGCUUAAAAAAAUGUAUUUAGAAAUACAUCUGACAAAAAAAUGUGAAAAGCCUGUACAAUGAGAACUACAAAAUAUUAUAAAGAAGACCUAAAUAAUAAUAUAUACCUUGUUCAUGGGUCAAGAGAUUCAGUAUUGUUAAGACGUCAUAUUCCCAAUAUACAGAUUCAAUAUAGAUCCAAUACAAUCUCAAUCCAAACCCCAGCAGGUUAUUUGUGUGUGUGUGUGUGUGUGUGUGUGUGUGUGUAUAGAUGAGCUGAUUCUUUUUUUUUUUAAUAUUUUAUUUAUUUAUUUGACAGAGAGAACACAAGUAGGUAGAGAGGCAGGCAGAGAGAGAGGGGAGAAGCAGGCUCCCUGCUGGGCAGAGAGCGGGGCUCGAAUCCAGGACCCUGAGAUCAUGACCUGAGCUGAAGGCAGAGGCUUAACCCACUGAGCCACCCAGGUGCCCCGAUGAGCUGCUUCUUAAAUCUCUGUAGAACAGCAGUGGACCUAGAACAGUCUUCCAUGCUGCUUUUGAACUUGACAAUGUUAACACCAGAAGUUUCCAGCGGCUCCAUUCUCUGCCUCUACAUGAUGUAAACCACCAACCCAAGCAGGAUAUCAGAAGUAUUUUUGUUUCAGUAUGUCCCUCUGAUUGUCUGUACGAAUUCAUGCCAACUGAGAGGAAGUAUUGUAAUAAGGAACCUAAUUUAGGUGUCAAUUGAAGUUGGGAAUAAGAUUUACUGCUGUUCAUUCUUUGGAAUAAUCUGGGGUUGAUUAGUGUUUUCAAACUACAUCUGCCAGUUAAUAUGAUGUUCAACUAUUUUCUAUAUAAGAGGAAAAAUAAAAAAUCUGAUAUAAAAGGGGUUUUUAAAGACUCAGUUGAUGAAUUUAUAUGCACAGGAAAAGAGACUUCUGUAGAUCUUUAAGGAGCAAGUGUCAAGAGGUUUCUAGAAAAAAGAAAAGAGAUAGAGAAGGAAAGAAAGAUCUACAAAUUACCAACACAGUUUAAGUUUAGAGCAGGGAACUGGUAACAUAGCAACUGACCAAAAAAAAAAAAAAAAAAGAAAAAGAAAAAGAAAAAUCCAAACUAUGCCAGAAGCAUCCCUUUUAAAGAACUAAGAUUGUGCUCAAAUUCUUGUAGUGUCAUUUGUUGGGACUUGAGGACCUGAGGGACCCCUGCAAGCAUAUUCUUCAGAAUCCAGAUUAGGGGAAGAGGUUACACUCUGGAUGCAAAGUUACUGCUGUAUUCAUCUUAAUAAAUCAAAUUAAGUUACUUGGCAGAACACCAAGUGUGACCCACCCAUUUCUGAGGAAAUGACCAGAGGUCAAAGAUGAUUAUUUUCAUCUUUUAUAAUCGAAGAAAUAUUUGUCUUAUUUUCUAUUGCUCAAGGUUGGCAUUUUCUUCCUCCUGGCAUGUUGCCUCUAAAGCUCUGCGCCAUUUUCACCACAAAGUUCCCUGGAUUCUUCAGAGACAUGGAACCAAUAGAACAUGAGAAGCCGAAGUAACUUGGUCCCGGUCACGUGCCUGGUUCUCAGCAGAUCUAGUUUUGAGGCACUGCUGGACUCCAACGACAUGCUCUUUCCUCCUUCCCAGUCUACCUCUGGUGCUGAAUGCAGAUUUGGGGAGCUGUGGAGUAAACAACACGGGACACUUAAAGACUUCACGCCAUCUUCCCCAGGAGUUGGUGCCAUCUCAGGAAACCAUGGUCUUUGCUCAUCCAUAAGAAGCAAUUCCUCAUCUGUUCAAGUGUACCAUGAGAUGACAGUGGUUCAGCCACAUCUUCAGGCUCCACUUUUGAUUCUAGUUCUCUUGCUGUUUUCACCACAUCCGCAAUUCCUUCCUCCACCGGAGUCCUGAGCUCCUCAAGGACAUACCAUGAGCAUGGAAAUGAACUUCUUUCAAAUUCCUGUUCAUGUUGAUAUUUUGACCUCUUUCCCUGAACCAGGAAUGUUCUGAAGGGCGUGUAGAAUGGCGAAUUCAUUCCAGAAGGUUUUCAGUUGACUUUGGCCAGAUCCAUCAGAGGAGUACUAUCUCUGGAAGCUCUAGGCUUACAAAAUCUAUUUCUUAAAUAAUAAGACUUGAAAGUUGAAAUGACCCCUUGAUCCGUUAGCCACAGAAUGGACGUUGUGUGAGCAGGCAUGAAAACAACAUUGAUCUCACCGGACAUCUCCAUCAGAGGUCCUGGGUGACCAGGUACACUGUCGAUAAGCAGGAAUAUUUUGAAAGGAAUCUUUUCUUCUGAGCAGUAAGUCUUGACAGUUGGCUUUAAAUAUUCAGUAAACCAUGCUGUCAACAGCUGUGCUAUCACCCAGGCUUUGUGGUUCCAUUUACAGAGCACAGGCAGAGUAGACCUAGCAUAAUUCUUAAGGGUCCUGGGACUUCUGGAAUAGUGAACGACCAUAGGCUUCAACUUCAAGUCACCAGCUGCAUCAGCCCCUAACAAGAGAGCCAGCCCAUCUUUUGAAAGUUUAAGGUCUCUGGCUGUGAAAGUCCUGGAUGGCCUCUUCUUCCAGUAGGAGCCUAGCUGCUUCCCCUACAUUGAAAAUAUGCUGUUUAGGGCCACCACCUUCGUCAGUGACUCUAGCCAGAUCUUCUGGAUGGUUUGCUGCAGCUUCUUCAUUGGCACUGGCUGCUUCACCUUGCUCUCUGAGUGAUGAGAUGGCUUCUUGCCUGAAAGCUCACGAACCAGCCUCCGCGGUUUCAGACCUUCCUCUGCAGCUUCCUCACCUCCCUCAGCCUUCCCAGCAUUGAAGAGAGCGAGGACCUUGGUCUGGCACAGGCUUUGGCUGAAGGGGAUGUUGUGGCUGGUUUCGUCUUCCGUCCAGGCCACUCAGACUUUCUCCACACCAGCAGUCGGGCUCUUUCACAUUCUUGUCAUUCAUGCAUUCACUGGACUAGCACGUUAAAUUUCCUUCAAGAAUUUCUCCUUUGCUUUCACAACUUGGUGGAGGGCUUGGGGUAAGAGGCCUCCAGCAUCCUGGGAGGCGGCAGGGCAGGAGCACUCGGCCCUUCCUGGAUCCCCUCCCUGAAGGAAAACACCCACCCACACUACUACCAAGAGUGGUAGCAGACUCUGGUCCUGCGGUCCCUUGGAUUCCUUGGGAACGAGGUUACCACAUACCCCCAGCCUUUCUGGAAGUGUGCUUCCCUCCGCUCCUCGUGUUCCCGGUGUCAGCAACACCUGGCCCGCAUGGAGACUCACAGUCCAGGGCCAGAGCCCAGCUCCCAGAAGAAGUUGUGGAAAAGAAAACUUGACCUUUCUCAAGUCUCUCUUCUCACUCUAUGAAGCAGAGGCAGGAAGGGGAGCCAUUUGAAACAUCUAGAAUUAUCUGAGGUAGAUGUCUGGAUAAGAGUUUCUUUCACAAAAUGCUGUUUUUCAAGGGAAAAUAAAUAAUGGUAUUAUUAUUUAAAUAAUAAAUGGUAUUUAUUUUCACCAAGAUGGAUAUUUUAUAGCACUUUGGGAUGUUCAUAAACACCGUUUGCUUUCAUUUGGCCCAGGAAACUGAAAAAGAGACAGACUUGAAUGAAUUUGUCUUACUUCUUUCCCAAAAGAUAGCAGUCAGCAAGUCGCUGCUUGGCAUAAAGCCAAGGCCUCUGUGAUUAAACAAUAUAUAACCACGUGGCGCCAACAGGCAACUGAAUCGGUUUUCUGACAAGUACACUUUCAGUCAGGCAGGUUAGCUGAGGGGACGCGCUCCCCUUCUCUGGGGAGACCAGUCGCCUCGGGCUUUCAAAUACAGCCACUGUCCUGCCUCAGGCGUAUUCCAGAAGAAAAAUGCAUAUUUAUGGAGUCCGAAUUUUAUGUAAAAAAAGAGUUGACAGGACCAGUUGGAAGAGCCCUGCCAGAGAGGGAAAACAUCAAUUUAAAUAUUUGAUUUGCAUCCAAAAUUCAUUCCAUCAGAGACCUGGCACCCACAGAAGUCUGCUGACCCACUGGAGAAAUAAUGCAGACAUUUCUGGUGUGCCUGGAAAGUACUCUCGGCUCCCCAGGAUCCCAGAGCCAAAAGCCUUAACUGACUCGGAGUAUUGGACAUCUGAGGACCCCUGUCCCAGGAUAAUAACGCAUAUUCCAAAGCAGCAGACACUGGGGCUGCCCUCAGCCGCUGCUUUACAGGGCCUGACCUUUGGGGCCUGAAUAUCCUCUGUCCCAGCCAACUACAGCCCGAGGUUGUGCGGGGGACGGGCUGGGGGCCAGCCGCUGGGCCCAGCGCUUCCCCGGCAUGCCUCAGCUGCCUUCGGAUCCUUGAGCGGCAGAUUUUCAAGUUCUCCUGCCAACACCCAAGCCAGCCAGUGAAUAAUCAGCUGCAAUUUGUAAACCCGUUUCAUUUUGUAACUGCUGUUUUCAUUCAGAAUUUUCUGGAAUUCCAGGGGCCAGCCACAGCAGGUUGUUUCUUAAUUUUAUGUUAUUUUUUUAAAAUGUUUUUUAUCUUCAGACUUGCAAGGCGCUUGGCCCUCUGCAGCGGGGACCUGGGAGGAACUUGGAUCUGCUUCCCAGAUUGGAAGGAGACCCCAGACACAAAGGGGCCACACAGGGAGGGCCAGAGGGAGACUUUGCGGUGUCUUCAGGGAGGGGACUCCCUGACACCCCGCCAUCUGUCCCUCACACACGUGACAAAGCAAAGCACAAAAAAAUGCAAGUAAUAUUGUAGCAGUCGGCUUGAACUGAUUGUGGAAAAUAAGGUUUUCGCUGAUAUAUGAACUCCUUAACCGUCCUUUCACGCUUUGGAAAGGCCCGUGCUUGUUCCUGGUAGACCCGGCGCCCAGCAAGUCCCCUGCCUGAUAGUUUCGGAAAAAACAAACAAACAAACAAAACACAACAUUUUGCUAAUCAAGAGCAAUAGAGACAUUUCGUCUCCAGCGUUUAAAUAUCCAUAUCAAGGAGGAAGAAAACUCUAUUAUAGAAAAUUUUUUUUAAAAAUCCUGUUUAUUUAUUUAUUUAAAUUGUGGUAAAAUACAUAUCAUGUAAAACUCACCAUCUCAACCAUUUUUGAGAAUUCAGUGAUGGGAUCAAGUGUCUUCGCACUGUGGUGCGACCCAGAACAUUUUUUCAUCUUCCCAGACUGGAACUCUGUCCCUUUCACCUCUAACUCCUCACUCUCCCCUCCCCAGCCACCGGCAGUCCCCCUUCUAGUUUCUGUCUUUAUGGUUUUGACAACUCCAGUGAUCUCGUGUAAACGGAAGGAACUUUUAAAAAUUUUAUUGUUUUAAGUUUUAAUUCCAGUAGAGUCAACAUCCCAUGUUAUAUUAACUUCAGAUAUGCAAUAUCUGUGAUGUGACAACCAUUUUUGUUUUUAUUUUUUAUUUUUAUCUAUUUGACAGAGAGAGACAGAGAGAGAGGGAACACAAGCAGGGGCAGAGGGAGAGGGAAAAGCAGGGAGCCUGAUGUGGGGCCAUGACCCCGAGCAGAAAGCAGACACUUAACAGCUGAGCCACCUGGGUGCCCUGUGAUGUGACAAUUGUAUACGUUAUUCAGUGCUCAUUGUGAUAAAUGCACACGUUAAAAAAAAUUAAUUUAGAAAAUAUCUUGAGGCUAAGGAGAAAAUGAUCUUUUUAUUCACAAAAUCAAAGUUUCAGUGCUGUUCAGUCGCUGUGACAAAGUCUCUUGGUGCU